GUGAGGAAUUUUCCGCAAUGGGCGAAAGCCUGACGGAGCAAUGCCGCGUGAAGGAUGAAGGCCUAUGGGUUGUAAACUUCUUUUCUCAGAAAAGAAUUAUGACGGUAUCUGAGGAAUAAGCAUCGGCUAACUCUGUGCCAGCAGCCGCGGUAAGACAGAGGAUGCAAGCGUUAUCCGGAAUGAUUGGGCGUAAAGCGUCUGUAGGUUGUUUAAAAAGUAUUCUGUCAAAGAUUAGUGCUUAACCCUAGAUAGGCAGAAUAAACUUUUAAGCUAGAGUUUGGUAGAGGCAGAGGGAAUUCCCGGUGGAGCGGUGAAAUGCAUAGAUAUCGGGAAGAACUCCAAAGGCGAAGGCACUCUGCUGGGCCAAUACUAACACUGAGAGACGAAAGCGAGGAGAGCAAAUGGGAUUAGAUACCCGGGUAGUCC
rnacentral:rRNA from 1 species